GUGGCGAAACUGUCCUCUGUGGCGAGACUGUCCUAUGACGUAUCAUCAUUCUAUAGCCAAUCAAGUCAUUCGAUAUAUUGCAACGAUUCCCACUAAACAGACUGGUAACGAAAUACCGUGGCAGUUUUGUCCUAAACAAAAAUGGCCGUACCAGGGGCUCUACCAGGGUAAUAUUGGGGCAAUGAAUGGAAUUAUAAAGUUUAUUUGUACAGCAGAGACUGAGAUUGUACUGUUCAAACCAAAUAACUCUAAACUGUCUUGGUGGUCCUGACUUUUAAGACUGUCAGCCUAUUUGCCAAUGGUUCACAGUGGAAUAUAAGGAUAAGCUAAAAAAACAAUAGAUUUAGGGAUUAAAAGUGAUUGAGAAGAC